rnacentral:rRNA from 1 species
CCUACGGGUGGCAGCAGUGGGGAAUAUUGCACAAUGGGGGAAACCCUGAUGCAGCGACGCCGCGUGAGUGAAGAAGUAUCUCGGUACGUAAAGCUCUAUCAGCAGGGAAGAAAAUGACGGUACCUGACUAAGAAGCCCCGGCUCACUACGUGCCAGCAGCCGCGGUAAUACGUAGGGGGCAAGCGUUAUCCGGAUUUACUGGGUGUAAAGGGAGCGUAGACGGCAGUACAAGUCUGGAGGGAAAUCCCGGGGCUUAAACCCGGAACUGCUUUGGAAACUGUGCGGCUGGAGUGCAGGAGGGGUAAGCGGAAUGCGUAGUGUAGCGGUGAAAUGCGUAGAUAUUAGGAGGAACACCGGUGGCGAAGGCGGCAUACCGGACUGUAACUGACGUUGAGGCUCGAAAGCGUGGGGAGCAAACAGGAUUAGAUACCCGUGUAGUC